AGUGAACGCUGGCGGUAGGCUUAACACAUGCAAGUCGAACGGCAGCACAGUAAGAGCUUGCUCUUACGGGUGGCGAGUGGCGGACGGGUGAGGAAUACAUCGGAAUCUACUUUUUCGUGGGGGAUAACGUAGGGAAACUUACGCUAAUACCGCAUACGACCUACGGGUGAAAGCAGGGGAUCUUCGGACCUUGCGCGAUUGAAUGAGCCGAUGUCGGAUUAGCUAGUUGGCGGGGUAAAGGCCCACCAAGGCGACGAUCCGUAGCUGGUCUGAGAGGAUGAGCAGCCACACUGGAACUGAGACACGGUCCAGACUCCUACGGGAGGCAGCAGUGGGGAAUAUUGGACAAUGGGCGCAAGCCUGAUCCAGCCAUACCGCGUGGGUGAAGAAGGCCUUCGGGUUGUAAAGCCCUUUUGUUGGGAAAGAAAAGCAGCAGGUUAAUACCCCGCUGUUCUGACGGUACCCAAAGAAUAAGCACCGGCUAACUUCGUG
rnacentral:rRNA from 1 species